UGUUUUGCCGCAUAGUUGCACACGUGUCAGUUUUGUUGAUAAACAACCAACCCCUCUAUAGUAAACGUAAAUUAGUCUUUGAGGCCAGGCUGGGGUAGGCUAGGCCUAAAUGAUAAACUCAGUGUUGCAGAGAAAGAUGAGAAAGCGAAAGUCUGUUUUGAAAGUUCUUGUCUGCUACAUUUGCCACAGAAUUAUUGAAGGUAAUGAUUAUUUUUAUUUUCUCUCAUUGUUCAGUUGUUCAUCUCUUAUUUGUUGCAUGCUAACAAAUAAGAGAUGUUUAUAUAAAUCAGAUUUUACUAAGUAGCCCAGGCUAGUAAUGCUUCCUAACUAGUGGCUAUUCGCUUUGGAUCUAGAUUAAAAUUGAUUGUACACAGCAGCAUGCAAACGUGGAGAUAUAUUUUGAUUCACAUGGGUUUCACUGGUGAUUGUGUGACAGGUUGCCAUUAUGAUAAAAGUGUAAAUUCUGGCAUAGGCCUACAUCUGUUGUUUUUUGUCUUGUAGAUUUCCAUUUUUCAUCUGACAGAUGGGUCCCAUUGUCCUUGAGAGGGGUACCUCUCUCUCCCCCCUCCUCUCCCCCAUCCUCCUCUCCCCAGCUGUCACUUGAACCCCCUUUUCCCAUGUCCACCCAACCUCAGUGUCCCCAAAACCCCCUCUCAAGGACUUUCUGAAUCAGAUGGUGAGUGUGGACGGUGCCAUGGUGAAGUUUGAGAUCUGCGACACGGCUGGUCAGGAGUGCUACCACAGCCUGGCACCUAUGUGCUACAGAGGAGCCCAGGCAGCCAUAGUGGUCUAUGACAUCACCAACACAGAGACCUUUGUACGAGCCAAAGCCUGGGUGAGCGAGCUCCAGAAACAGUCUGUUAACAGAGCGGUGGAGUAUACGGAUGGUCAGGGCUAAGUUGCUGACAACAGUAUUUUCUUCAUGGAGUCCUCUGCCAAGACAGCCAGGAAUGUCAACAACCUCUUCCUGGUCAUAGCCAAGAAACUGCCCAAGAGUGAGCCACUGGGUGGAGUAGCGGGUAGUGCUCGGGUUCGAGGAGGACCUCCAGUGGAUCUCAGGCAACCUACCCAGACAAGUCCAGCCCAGUGCUGUGGAAACUGAGGAGGGAACGGGGGAGAAGAGGAGAAGCAAACUGAGUGUAAAACGGGACCAAAUGAAAGUGUUUCACAGCAAGCUCACAACUGAGGGAGCAGGGAAGGCUAAAUAGAUUUUCCAGAGAAAAGAAGGGAGAGUGGAAGAGAGAUAGAAGUGCAGCAUGAAAAUGAAAGAGGGAGUUAAAGGAAUUAUAAGGGACAAAUAUAUAGAGCAAUGGGAGGAAAACAACACUGGAAUAAGAUUAACUUCUAUCUUGUCAACACUACUGGACAGCCACUGAUAAAUACACGAAUGGUCUGUGAUCCAUACACUCUUUAGUCUUAGGCUUUAUAACACUCCUGUAACCUUUCCAUAUUUUCAUGGGUAUAUUUAAUAUUAUGAUAAUAAUUCAGAAAAUGUCGUAAGAAUGGAAAGAGAUCAAGGGAUGAUAUUGGAUUUUUUUAUUUCGAGCUCCAAGGCUGACUUGAAAGUGAUAAUGGAGGCUUCAUUUACCAAUCGGUUUCAUAUUCAUUGAUAAUCACCUCAAAACGUCAGCUGAAUUUUGUAACAAUUACUUUGUUCGUGAGGUCAGUAGCUAGGUUUCCAUCUAAUUGGUGACAGAUUUUCAUGCGAAUAUUCUAAAGUCUGCAAAGAACUAAAUGCGCAAUAUCCAUCAAAUUGACUUGUUGUGGAUAAAAGGCUGUGCUUGAUGAUGUAGUGCACAUAAAAAUACCUUUUGCGUUUAAAUUCCCAAGUACCAAAUAAAACAUUCAAGUGAAAUAGGUUUCCAUCGCAUUUUAAACUUACAAAAAAUUUUGCGUUAUAUACUGAAUGUGCCCACUCUGGUAUUGGCAUGUGCGCUCUAGCCAACAGCUCGCAGAUACAGUGUGGGUAUAGC